GGGGCCUGGGUGCCCAGGGGCAUCCGUGCUGGUCAGCCAUGGCGUCCGGUCAGGAGUCCGGAGGCACAACUUUGAUGGAUCUCAUCACCUCCGAUCCGACGCCGGUCCCCCCCAGCGCCGCUCCCGGUGUAGCCCCCUCCGCACCAGGGAAGCCGUCGGCGGCGGAUCGGAAGACGAGGAGGAGCACUCUGAUGCAGAUCCAGAGUGACACCAUAUCCGCGGCAAAGGCGCUGAACCCGGUCAAGACAAGCGUCAUGCCUCAGAGGCGCAAGAAGACGGUCCGCUCCAACCUCCCUCCCUCCCUCCUUCCCUCUCUCUCUCUCUCUCUCUCUCUCUC
rnacentral:lncRNA from 1 species